AUAUGCAUUAUCUGGGGGUCUUACUGAAAUGCAGAUUCUGAAUCAUCAGGUCUGAGUAGGGGAAUCUGAGUCACCAGUUUUCAUAAGCUCCCAAAUGAUACUGGU
rnacentral:pre_miRNA from 1 species